UUCCCACAUGAUGAACACCACAUAUACUUUUUUUUCUGGUACCUCUUGAUUGCAGAAGGGAUUCGGGCGCAAGCUCGUUUUCUUCGAUGAUCUCAAUGGACUUCUGAUU
rnacentral:snoRNA from 1 species